rnacentral:rRNA from 1 species
AUGGUGUUCAUAGGGUACGAGGACGACAGCAAGGCCUACCGCGUCUACGACCCGGCAACCCACAAGCUGCACGUCACCCGUGACGUGAUCUUUGAUGAAGACCGUCCCUGGAACUGGGAAGCAGCACAUGAUGCGGCAGUGCCCGUGGGCGCACCUGCCAUCUUCACUGUCGAGUACACCGUCGAUGGCACCGAGCUCAGCAGCGACAGCGGCCGCGCUCCGGACGCACCCCCGGCGACACCGUGCACUCCGUCGGCGUCCAGCGAGCCACGCAUGCCAGAGCCAUCUCCUGUGCCGUUCGUGACGCCUCCUAUAGGAGAGACUCACGACAGGGAGGGGGUGGCGCGCCGUUUUCUCAUGAUGGAGGAAGUGAUCGACCACACCGAGCCGGUCGAGAUUGAGUACAGUGGGCUAUGCCUGCUUGCUGCUGAGGAGCCCGACAAUGUCGACGACGCACUCGGCGAGGGGUACUUGAGAAAAGCCAUGGAAGAGGAGAUGCGAGCCAUCCACGACAAUGAGACAUGGGAGUUGAUGGAGCUCCCACCUGGACACCGGGCCAUUGGGUUGAAAUGGGUGUUCAAGAUGAAGAAAUAUCCUCAAGGUAAUGUGAUCAAGCACAAAGCUCGUUUGGUUGCUAAGGGAUAUGCACAGAGAGAGGGCAUUGAUUUUGAGGAGGUGUUCGCGUCGGUGGCGCGGAUGGAGACCGUGCACGUGCUCGUAGCGCUCGCCGCGCACCGCGGCUGGCAUGUUCAUCAUAUGGACGUGAAGUCUGCUUUCCUCAAUAGAGAACUUGCAGACGAAGUGUACGUGCGGCAACCAGAGGGUUUCAUCGACAGCAGCAACACACAAGGUGUUCUGAAGCUGCGCAAGGCGCUGUAUGGGUUACGGCAGUCACCACGGGCCUGGAACAUCAAGUUGGACAGUGCGCUCACGACGCUCGGCUUCGAGCGGAGCUUGCUUGAGCAUGCUGUGUACAAGCACGGCAGCGGCGACACCCUCCUGCUUGUGGGGGUGAACGUGGAUGAUCUGAUCAUCACGGGCGCCAACGCCGGCGAGAUCGCAGAGUUCAAGGCAGAGAUGCAGCACACUUUCAGCAUGAGUGAUCUCGCCCCCCUGAGUUACUACCUCGGAAUCGAGGUCAAACAGAAGGGCGACGCCAUUACACUCUGUCAGAGCAGCUAUGCCCGCAAGAUCCUCGAAGAAACAGGGAUGACAGGGUGCAAGCCGUGCUCGACGCCGAUGGAGAAUCGCCUGCGACUGUCGAAGAGCAACGGGAGCCCAGCUGUGGACGCGACUUACUACAUGAGCGUGGUGGGCAGCUUGCGCUAUCUAGCCAACACCCGGGCUGACAUUGCCUAUGCGGUUGGGAUUGUCAGCCACUACAUGGAGGCACCAACAGCGAAGCAUAUGGCCGCGGUGAGGCAUCUGUUGCGCUAUAUCAGUGGCACAAUCCAUCAUGGAUGCAAGUACCAACGAGGCAGAGGGGAUGAGCCAGACCUUGUAGGGUACAACGACAACGAUCAUGGCGGUGAUCUUGACGAUCGGAAGAGCACAAGCGGAGCUGUUUUCUUUCUGGGGCGAAACCUGGUUACCUGGGCGUCACAAAAACAGAAGAUCAUCGCCAUGUCCUCCUUGAGGCAGAGUACGUGGCAGCAGCGGCGGCAGCUAUGCAAGCAGUGUGGCUGA